UAGAUAGAAUUGUGAGAAAGUCAGAGUCAAAACUAAAUUUCAGGUCUAAUUAGCAAUCUAGACUGAAACAUGGGAGAAACAUUUUGCUUUGUCCUUCACUAAAGUGGAUUAUAUAGACUAUUUAAAUUGCUCUUUUCUCCUCUGAGGAAAUGCUGGUCUCCUCAGGCCACCCUAAUAGUAUAGGUGAGAAAACACCUUGAGCAUUCAGGCAGCAGGGUUUACACUCAUACAGAGUUAUUUCCUUCCCAACCAAGUGAUAGGAACUCUGGUGAUAGGCUUUUACACAAUGGAAGUUCUACUGGGAGAGGAGGAAAAAUAAGGAUUUCAGUUGCCACAGAAGAUAGUAAUGCCUCAUAUCCCCACUCUCAGCUUCUGAGCCAUGUCAGUGAAAGGCAUGUUGGUGGAACUGAAAACUUUCCACAUUAGGGCUACCAUACUUAGACUCAAGAAAGAAGUGACCCAGGAUUGACUACAUCUGAAGGGAAAAGAUCUGGCAACUUCUCCGACCACAGCGUGAUGUCAUCAGGUGAGGCAAAUUUGAAAUUUAAUGUUAAAAGCUUUGGUAUAGACUAUUACUCAAAAGGACAAGCCAACUGGCAAAUGGGCAAAGGAUCUGAAUAGACACAUCUCCAAAGAAGAUCAACAAAUGCACAAUAAGUAUGUGAAGAGAUGCUCAACAUCAUUAGUUAGUGGGGGAAAUGCCAAUGAAAACAGCAAUGGGAUACCAAUUCAAACCCACUAAGAUGGCUAGAAGCAAACACACAGGUAAUGACAAGUGUUGUAGAGAAUGUAGAGGGGUUAGAACUCUCUUACACUGCUGGCAGGAAUGCAAAAUGCUGCAGAAAAGACCUAGCAAUUCCUCCAAAAUUAAAAAACAGAGUGACCGUAUGACCCAGCGAUUCCACUUGUAGGUCUUCACAGCAAGAUUAUUCAUGAAAGCUCCAAGGUGGAAACAACCUAAUUAUCCAUCAACUAAUGAGCGAGUAAAAAUAAUGUGGUCUGUCUACACAAUGGAGUAUUACUCAACAAGAAAAAGAAAUGAAAUUCUGACACACACUAACUGAAGGAGGGCAGAACACGUCACGUUGGUAUGCUGAUAAUUUUGAGUGAUAGGCACUCGAAAAACAGCAAAUGCAGGCACAGCCUUUCUCUGAACCGCACCCCCUGCCCCCCGCCCCCCGCCAUCUGCCUAAAGACAGAUACUCUAAAAGGAGCUUGACUGUCACAGAUUCCCUCCCUGCGAGUGUCAUCAGCCAUAACCACAGGAGACGAGAGUACAAGUGGAUGUCACACCCUGACAAACUUUGUCACAAACUGUCAUACUUCCCAUCUGUUCUUCUAAGGGUCUAAUCAUCUUUCCUAAAAAUCAUCUGCUUGCUUCUCAGAGGCCUACAUUCCCCACCUCUUCCCCUACUAAGAUGGUAUGUAAGCAUGCAUUUAAGCUGCCUUAGGGAAUAACUAAUUGUUCCCUGGGUGUCUCUCAUGUAGACAUGAAGUAUACAUGUUAGUAAGUUUUAUUUCUCUUAUUUAUCUUUCUUCUAGUCCAUGGUCUCAGCCAAGAACUCUAAAAGGUAGAGGAAAAAUUAUCUUUCCUCCCCUACACUUCAACAAUCGUUGAACCAUGGAAACAUUAUGCUGAAUGAAAGAAGCCAGACACAGAAGUUCAUAUAUGGUCGAGAGCAUCAGACUGGGAUGUGGAUAACACAAGUUCAUUAGUAUCUUGAUUCGGCCACUUUCUAGCCAAGGCAGACAAGAGCAGUGAGCGGUUUAAGGCAAAAGAGAUAACAAGAGUUCAACAGCAGCAACUGCUGUUAUGUCCAAGGGCCAGCCCUGAUUCAUCACAAUGGGAUGAACCAGACUGAACGACGACGAGGCUGGAACAAGAUCUAGCCCACUGGACCAGAGCAGGGAGCUGGAAAUGACAGAAGCUGUACAAAUCCACCCAAAGGGAGGAGGCCCAUUCCAACGCAGAAGAACAUGGCACCCAGAAAGAAUGGAAAUGGUAGAUGGAAGCUAGGCAAUCAUCAAAAGCACCAGAUUAGAACCAGUAUAAUGAUGGAUUCCUACACAAACAGUGGGAUUCUACUUCUUGAAUAACCUCUACAGAAAUCAGGAUUACAGUUUCUUAAACCUGAACACGUGAUCCAAGGUAAGACAAAAGAACUUUUUAUCUUGAUUUGCAAAUUUAAUUACUCGAAAUGACUUUGAACACUUUACAAAAUGGAUUAUAUUUAUACAUUGAACAAAUCCACUUAACUAAAAAGAUAAAAAUAAUAUGAAAUGAUUGCUCAAGAAAAUAUGAAGUAGGAGGUCCCCAUAUCAUAGAUGCUGGUUACAAGUUUCUAAAUUAGAAUAUGGAGUCAUGACUUCUGGAAAGUUAGGUUUAAUCAUCUAUGUGGUUGGCCCUAGAAAAUGUCUUAAGUUGGUGAAAUGUAACUUCUCUCCCCCUUUUUUAGCAUCAGCGGGGUGCUCCUCUUUGGAACUCCCACUAGUUGCAUAUCCAAAGAUAUGACCCUAAAAUAUAUCUCUCUUCAAAUUCAAAGUAUGCUGCAACUCUUUGAAAGUGGCCAGAUUGAAGUAACCUUAAGGUUUACGAAGCAGACCUCCUUGAUUGCCAUAUCACUGGAAGGACUUCUCUUUCUAUAAUUCAAGCUAUCCAAAAGAACUACUGUAAAUGUUUUAUGCACCGCGAGUACCUACAGCCAAGGAAGAAGAAGAGAACAUAGAGGGUGAAAGGAGGGGCAGGAACAAGAAAGGACAGUCGUAGUGUCUAGCUUAUAGAAAGAACCCAAGGUAUGCCUUUAUCCAGUGAGUAUUGAAGCACUUUCCUAAAUUGAUCUCUGGGGCCUCUCGCUUUCUAGGUCUAGACCUCUCUCCCUGGUCAAGGUUCCAAAGGCCCACCUCCUCCUCCUUGCAAGAAUAGAUCUAAAUAUCAUUUACACACACAUGACAGGCAACUAGUUAAAUCUCUCCUGGGAAUCAGUAGGCACUCAAUAGGGAGUGAAAUUGAAGUCAAGUGAAUACUGUGAAUGUUAGUUGUUCAGGUACCACUGGGCAGGAAGGAAGGCAUGGGAAAGAGAUCUUAACACUUUGUUUCAGAGAGCAUGGCAGUUUGUCUGGGAAUGCAACUGGAACCCUUUUAUUUUUAAUUAAAUUAAUUAAUUAAUUAAUUAGUUUGUUUUUUAAUCCUGGGGUUCGGGUUACUAUAGUUGGAAGUAAAAUUAAACAGAGGGUAACAGUUUUCUCUUUGGCACAUUAAUCAAUUGCUCUGCUUAGGAGGUCCCUUAAACAGAAAAGAGUGAACAAAUUUGGGCACCAGAGGAAUCCUCUGGGCCUUAGCAAUCACCUCCUCUUACCUGAUGGAAAGCAAACAAAAACUGAGCCGGGGGGCAAUGAUGGUCUUUUUCCCCUUCUCUUCUCAUAUGCCCAUUUAGGCUCAAAUGUUCUUUAAAGAAUUCAGAACUCUGUGCACUACAUGAAGGCUUACUUUUGAGGGGAAAAGAAUCAGAGAAUGUCAAAUUUAGAUUUUUUCUAAAUGUUUAUUCAUUUUUGAAAGACAGAGAGAGACAGAGCACAAGCGGGGGUGGGGCGGAGA